AUUUAAAUAAAUAUAUUUAUCAUGGCUGUUAAGUCAUCGAGGCUGAUGGAGAGGCUUCGUGUCCUUUGUCAACUGUCUAAUUUAUUCACCAUUUCUGUAAUAAAAUAUAAGUAUAAAGUUUAAAAUUUUGAAGGUUUUAAUAAAACGUUUUGCUGUUCUUGUUGAGGGAAUUGCGACGGUUGAAAGUACGUAUGAUGCGGUCGUCCUUGUACUUACCGUAGCAAAACUGACGAAAGAGGUAAUGAAGCAAUAGCAGCGAUAGAGAAUGCUUUGUAUAUACAUAUACAUACAUAUAUAUAUAUUUUUUUACUUUACUAUUUUUUCGCUUCUUUACUAUCAACAGUACGUACUUGCAAUAGCAUAAACACUGCUAUCAAAUAAAUGUAUAUUGAUAAAUAAUGACAUACAACAGUGCGUCCAAUGACAAUUUAAAUUAUCAUGCACAUGUUUGUUGUCUUGUUGUUACAUAUGUCUAUAUAUGUGCAUUUACUUGUGAUAAAAAAAAUCCAGUAAUAAUAGAACCGGCAAUAAUUGCAUGAAAGAGAAAUUUUCUUCAUUGCGCAACGGCAUUACACAUAAUAGGAUUAUUCAAUGCAUCAUAUAUGAUGUGAAGACACGAUUAUGAUUUAUGUAAAUUACAAAAACAAUAAAAUUUAAAUUAUCAAUUAAAAAAAAGUUUUUUUAAAAAAUUUUUUCUUAUAAACGCCCGGCGAUCUUGAUAGUUUCCGGCGAACUUGGACGACAAGUGAACUAAUUACAGUAAUGUAAAAUAGUAGUAAUGGUAAUUAAGUGCGACAGGCUGCAAUUUACAAGGGGUUUAAUUAAAAGUAAUGUGAGUUUAAAAUAAAAAAUGAUUUAUAAAUAAUAAAUACAUACUUAGCGAAGGAUGAGCUGGAUAAGAUAAAAUGUAUGACUGUAUCGGAAACCGCGUCUGGUAGACUGAGUUAAAUGUGCGGUAGCUGAUGUUGCUUUCCCUUUCUUUAGUUGCUGGACAGUGACUCGGGUCUGAGUUCGUGGCUUCAGUCACCUGGUCGCUGGUACCAACAACCGCACACUGUUGUUGUACAAAUGCUCAAACACUUUAUUUGUUUCAUCAGAAAUACUUUAAGCGCUUUACCGGUCUGCAAACUAGUUGCCACUGACGAGUUUUAAUUAUUUUUUAUUUUUUUAUUUUAUCAUUUACUAAUGUAGUAAAUAUAUUCCAAGGACGAACGACAACCACUGAGUCAAGUCAAUGUUUAACGUGUAUAUAAAUAUAUAUUUUUUUAAAAUACUUAUUAUAUGAGUAUAUUUUUAAUUUUAAUUACAAAUUUUUAACGAAGAUAAUUUUUUUUUAAACAUUAACAUGUAAAAAAUAUACGGAUAUAAAAAUAACAUUAUUGUGGUCUAAUUAUACUUUAUAAUAAUAAUUAUAUUUUUGACCUGCGUGUACUCUGUAUUUUUCCAGACACUGGGACUUUUAGGAACAGUCAAGUUUCCAAAGUUUCUAGGCUUUAAAAAAACCUGAAAAAAUUCUGGGUUACUGGAAGUGUCUGAUACCCGGCCCAGUUGCCAAAGUCAAAAGUUUAAAAUUGUCAAAAAAAAUUGAAGACUAA